GGGCGUAUAGCUCAGUGGUAGAGUGCAAUGUUUAGCAUGCAGGAGGUCCUGGGUUCAAUCCCCAGUACCUCCA
rnacentral:tRNA from 1 species